CUACGGGCCGCUGCAGUGAGGAAUAUUGCACAAUGGGGGGAACCCUGAUGCAGCAACGCCGCGUGGAGGAUGACGCAUUUCGGUGUGUAAACUCCUUUUAUAUGUCAAGAAAAUGACGGUAGCAUAUGAAUAAGCACCGGCUAACUCCGUGCCAGCAGCCGCGGUGAAUACGGAGGGUGCAAGCGUUACUCGGAAUCACUGGGCGUAAAGGACGCGUAGGCGGGUUGGAAAGUCAGGUGUGAAAUCCUACAGCUUAACUGUAGAACUGCACUUGAAACUUCUAAUCUAGAGUAUGGGAGGGGGAGAUGGAAUUAGUGGUGUAGGGGUAAAAUCCGUAGAUAUCACUAGGAAUACCUAAAGCGAAGGCGAUCUCCUGGAACAUUACUGACGCUAAGGCGUGAAAGCGUGGGGAGCAAACAGGAUUAGAUACCCCUGUAGUC
rnacentral:rRNA from 1 species